UAUUCUAGAGCUAAUACAUGCACCAAAGCUCCGAUCCUCGCGGAGAGGAGCGCAUUUGUUCGCCACAAAACCAAGCGGCUUCCAAGCCGUUCAGUGUUGACUCAGAAUAACUAAGCUGAUCGCACGGUCUUGCACCGGCGACGUGUCUUUCAAGUGUCUGCCUUAUCAACUUUCGAUGGUAGUAUACAGGACUACCAUGGUUGUGACGGGUAACGGAGGAUAAGGGUUCGACUCCGGAGAAGGGGCCUGAGAAAUGGCCACUACGUCUAAGGAUGGCAGCAGGCGCGCAAAUUACCCACUCUCAACAUGAGGAGGUAGUGACGAGAAAAUAACGAGAACCGGUUCUCAUUCACCAAGGCCGGUCAUCGGAAUGGGUACAACUUUAAACCCUUUAACGAGUAUCUAGUGAGAGGGCAAGUCUGGUGCCAGCAGCCGCGGUAAUUCCAGCUCUCAAAAUGCAUAGAAUUAUUGCUGCGGUUAAAAAGCUCGUAGCUUGGAUCUGUGCUGGCCGCCCGGUCUGUCCACUGGGCAUGCACUGGUGCGGCCGGCUUUCCUGCCUGGUUCCUCCCCGGCGUUGGCCUUCACCGGUCGGCGUCGGUGGCCGGGCGAGUUUACUUUGAACAAAUCAGAGUGCUUCAAACAGGCGUUUCGCUUGAAUGUUCGUGCAUGGAAUAAUAGAAGAGGAUUUCGGUCCGAUUUUAUUGGUUUUGCUGACCGAGAUAAUGGUUAACAGAGACAAACGGGGCCAUUCGUAUUGCUGCGUGAGAGGUGAAAUUCUUGGACCGUAGCAUAGACGGACUACAACGAAAGCAUUUGGCAAGAAUGUCUUCAUUAAUCUAGAA
rnacentral:rRNA from 1 species